AUUGAACGCUGGCGGCAUGCCUUACACAUGCAAGUCGAACGGUAACGGGCCUUCUGGUCCCGACGAGUGGCGAACGGGGGAGUAAUACAUCGGAACGUGCCCGAUCGUGGGGGAUAACGCGGCGAAAGCUUUGCUAAUACCGCAUACGAUCUACGGAUGAAAGCAGGGGAGCUCAAGGCCUUUCGCGGCCUGAGCUGCCGAUGGCAGAUUAGGUAGUUGGUGGGGUAAAAGCUUACCAAGCCGACGAUCUGUAGCUGGUCUGAGAGGAUGAUCAGCCACACUGGAACUGAGACACGGCCCAGACUCCUACGGGAGGCAGCAGUGGGGAAUUUUGGACAAUGGGCGCAAGCCUGAUCCAGCCAUGCCGCGUGCGUGAUGAAGGCCUUCGGGUUGUAAACUGCUUUUGUACGGAACGAAAAGCAUUCUUUUAAUACAGGAGGGUCAUGACGGUACCGAAAGAAUAAGCACCGGCUAACUACGUG
rnacentral:rRNA from 1 species